AUGGACGGCCAGGCUUCACACCCCGUCGCCGUCGCACCCGAAUCCCUGCCGCAGCCACCUCCGCAUCUGGAGACGGAGGCGGAGGAUGACCCCGUCGUCGUCCCCGACGCCUCCGAUGCCGCUUCUUCGGAGCCUUCCAAGGUCGGCGCCCUUUCGACGUCGCCUCUUAUUAAGGCGGAGGACGACCCGGUCGUCGUCCCCGACUCCGUCGAACUCGCUUCUUCGGAGGCCUCCGUGGUUAGCGCAGGUGGUGUAGUGCCGCCGCCACCGCCGUCGCGGCCUCUUGAUGCGGAGGAGGAUUCCCUCAUCGUCCCCGACACUUCCGAGGCCGUUCCUUCGGAGGCCACCAAUGUUGGCACAGGUAGCGUGGUGCCCCUGUUACCAUCUCCACCUCUUGAGGCGGAGGACGACCCCCUCAUCGUCCCCGUUAUUGAUGCCUCUUCGGAGGCCUCCGACGUGGUUACCUCUGGUGUCGUGCUUACGGACGAGCUCCGUGACAAGAUAGUUAAACAGGUGGAGUACUACUUCAGUGAUGAGAAUCUUCCCACAGAUGAGUUUAUGUUGAAAUUUGUGAUGAAGAACAAGGAGGGCCUUGGUAAUGUUCCGCUUGGAGUUAUUGCAUCAUUCAGGAAAAUGAAGAAACUUGUUCAGGACCACUCGACAAUUGAAGCUGCCCUUAGGACAUCAUCCAAGCUGGUUGUGAGCUCUAAUGGGAAAAGGGUCAGAAGGUUACAUCCCUUACCAUGCAAUGAAUUGAAAGACGUGAAGAAAAGGACUGUUGUGGUGGAAAAUCUACCUCUGGAUUUCGCCCUGGAGAGUGUACAGGAGAAAUUUGGAUCAGUUGGCAAGAUUAUGAAGAUAACCAUCCAUGAUCCACAUGCAGUUGGUGAAUCUGCAGCAUCGAAGAAGCCUGACUUCAUGUUGAGUAAUAAGGUACAUGCCAUUGUUGAGUAUGAAGCAGUGGAGGCAGCUGAGAAGGCUGUGGCAACCUUAAACGAUGAGAGGAACUGGAGAACUGGGAUGAGAGUCAUACUCCUGGCUAAACGAAGUGUAGUGGGAUCAGGAAAGAAUAUCCAGUCUUCAAAAGAAAAUCAUGGCACAUGUUUGAGAAAGAACAACGAGGGCCAGUUUUCAAAAGAAGUACAGCAGUCGGUAUCAGAAAAAAAUGGUGGUGCUGAUUCAGGAGAGGUUGCUUCAGAUAAGGAGAAUGUGAACUCUGAUGUUAACCAUGAGGAAGUGCGCCAACACCAAAGGGCAAAUGCUAGCGGUGGUCGAAAAGGCAGAUACAGAAGCCAAGGAAAAGGUCUGAGUGGACAAGGGCAUGGCUCAUCCCCUACUAUUCCUGGUUCUGACUCUGCAAACAAGCCUAUUUCUGGGCCAAGAAUGCCGGAUGGAACAAGGGGCUUCACAAUGGGGCGCGGGAGAUCGCUUCCACUUCCGAAAGCCGAGAAGGCCCAGAAGACUGAGGAAUAG
rnacentral:rRNA from 1 species